ACAUGUUGCCUCUAGGGGCAUAAUUUACUCCUCCCGCCUCUUUUGCAUCUUUGUUGGUGAAGUAACCUCCUUAAAUGUUCAUAUGACAAUUAUUCAACUCAAUGAUACAUCAUUCAUUUGAAUGAAUUAAUAAACCCCUGGACUGUAUUAUUUGAGAUGUUUGAGCAAGAUUUCUGCUAAUGUCCAAA